UACGGGGGGGCAAGCGUUGUUCGGAAUUACUGGGCGUACAGCGCGCGCAGGCGGCCUCGUAUGUGACCGGUGACAUCCUCGGGCUCAACCCGAGGCGGCCCGGUUAGACAGCGGAGCUGGAGGCAGGGAGAGGGAUGUGGAAUACCCGGUGGAGCGGUGAAAUGCGUAGAGAUCGGGUGGAACACCAGCGGCGAAGGCGGCAUCCUGGCCCUGACCUGACGCUGAGGCGCGAUAGCGUGGGGAGCAAACGGG
rnacentral:rRNA from 1 species